rnacentral:misc_RNA from 1 species
AUUGUUUCGAACGACAGCUUUUUUCUUGUAGAAGAGUUGGCGGAUCGGUAGUGAGGGUCUUUGCCAUUUACCGUGGCUCCCUCGAAAUACAUUAGCGCAUCCAUUUAAUAGGCAAGACGGACGAAAGCUCGAUUUUCGCCCCCUCUUCCCUGCCGGGUUUUGAUAAUAUCAGGACUUCGGAGAGCGGAGAGAAGGGUGAGAGCUGGACGCGACGUUUUGCUGGUUGGAGUGCUUCUGAACCCCGCCCAUGCCUUUCGCAAGAAAGGAAGGGAUUUUUCAAUU